AUGCAAUGAUGACCUUUAUUUUCACCUGAAACUUGCCUUGAUGCUUUAAGAGCUUUUUAACUCUGAGCACU
ensembl:snoRNA SNORD36 Small nucleolar RNA SNORD36